rnacentral:rRNA from 1 species
AGUGAACGCUGGCGGUAGGCCUAACACAUGCAAGUCGAACGGCAGCACAGUAAGAGCUUGCUCUUACGGGUGGCGAGUGGCGGACGGGUGAGGAAUACAUCGGAAUCUACUUUUUCGUGGGGGAUAACGUAGGGAAACUUACGCUCAUACCGCAUACGACCUACGGGUGAAAGCAGGGGAUCUUCGGAACUUGCGCGAUUGAAUGAGCCGAUGUCGGAUUAGCUAGUUGGCGGGGUAAAGGCCCACCAAGGCGACGAUCCGUAGCUGGUCUGAGAGGAUGAUCAGCCACACUGGAACUGAGACACGGUCCAGACUCCUACGGGAGGCAGCAGUGGGGAAUAUUGGACAAUGGGCGCAAGCCUGAUCCAGCCAUACCGCGUGGGUGAAGAAGGCCUUCGGGUUGUAAAGCCCUUUUGUUGGGAAAGAAAAGCAGCAGGUUAAUACCCCGCUGUUCUGACGGUACCCAAAGAAUAAGCACCGGCUAACUUCGUG